UACGAAGGGUGCAAGCGUUACUCGGAAUUACUGGGCGUAAAGCGUGCGUAGGUGGUUUGUUAAGUCUGCUGUGAAAGCCCCGGGCUCAACCUGGGAAUGGCAGUGGAUACUGGCAAGCUAGAGUGCGGUAGAGGGUAGUGGAAUUCCCGGUGUAGCGGUGAGAUGCGUAGAGAUCGGGAGGAACACCAGUGGCGAAGGCGGCUACCUGGACCAGCACUGACACUCAGGCACGAAAGCGUGGGGAGCAAACAGG
rnacentral:rRNA from 1 species